GCAGUCGUGGCCUACUGAUUAGGGCUUCGGGCUUGUAACCGGAGGGUUGCUGGUUCGAUCCCCGACCAGUAGGG
rnacentral:tRNA from 1 species